rnacentral:lncRNA from 1 species
CCGGGUUUUCUGCAUUCUGAUCAUUUGACUCCUUGACCUCAUGCUCAGUUGUAUUCACUUCACUCACAGUGACCCCUCCAUUCUCAACAGCUUUUAAUAAUUCUGUAGAUGACUUAUCGUUCCCAAUAGGAUCUGCUGAAACAACAGGUUCUGUAAACUUAUCGCUCCCAGUAACCUCUGCUGAAACAGCAGGUUCUACAGGAUGGUGUGAUCCUUUCUUGUUCCUUCCUUUAUUUGAUUUCCC